UACGGAGGGGGCUAGCGUUGUUCGGAAUCAUUGGGCGUAAAGGGCGCGUAGGCGGCCGAUCAAGUCGGAGGUGAAAUCCCUCGGCUCAACUGAGGAAUUGCCUUCGAUACUGUUCGGCUUGAGUCCUGGAGAGGGUAGCGGAAUUCCCGGUGUAGCGGUGAAAUGCGUAGAGACCGGGAAGAACACCAGUGGCGAAGGCGGCUACCUGGACAGGUACUGACGCUGAGGCGCGAAAGCUAGGGGAGCAAAACAGG
rnacentral:rRNA from 1 species